GCCAAGCCCCACAUGGGCCCAACCCAACAAGCCUAUGACAGAAAGCCCAUGUCGUCACAUGCACGUCACUCGCCUGCUCCCAUCCCUACCACGAACUGGCGGCGCGCUAGGGUUAGCGCCACCACCAGCCACACCCGCCGCUCGGCUCCUCGCCGGACACCCAUGUGAUCUCGUGCGCAGCUGCCACCUCGUCGCUGUCCUCGGCCCAUCUCUAGCACCGUCAACGCACCGCCGGCCGCCUCCCUCGCCAUGUCCCUGCUGCAAGCUCCUUGAUCCCUCGCCACGCCGGUCUUCCUCCUCCUCCUUACCCACCUAGCUGACCUCUGCCGCGACGCCUAAACCCGCCUGCUGCGCAGCUCCUCGUUGCCAUGGAGGGGUUCAACUCCAAUCCCAACGUUCUUCAUCUUCAAGAUCACCCAUGCCUCCACUACGCCACCUGCUGUUGGAUGGCACUGGCCGUCCAAGCGUGUGGAACUGGAAGGACUGUCCAUCAUGGCGGUACAGCUCAUCUCGGAGGAGAAAAGACCAAGGUCCUGCAGUCUUCAUGUGAAGGUUUCAAGUGCUACAUAUAGGAGGAGGCAGGAGUGGCUGCAAUCUUGCUACGAAAUGACACUUAUGGAGCUUCUUUACCUAACAUGGCCAAGAAGUCCGCAAAAUCCAGUGAGCAUAGAGUAUAGCCGGUUGGAUACAUAUCUGCAGAGUGCAUGUAGUGUGUGUGUCAGAUAUACAGUGGAAAAACACCACAAUGCAAGUGUCAGAUCCUGUUCUUGAUGCAAUUUUGCGACUCUAUUCUGGACUGUAAGCAAUUGGUUGAUGUUAAGCUGAAACUCGGAUCAGUCUCGUGGCUCUUCUGUACCUAUAUGCCUAGAUUAUUUACUAAUGGUAUAUGAACUAUAUCUUCCUAUAUAGGAUGAUCAAUUGCCAGGAAUAGAAAGACUAUGGUUUUGAUUUU